AACGAACGCUGGCGGCAUGCCUAACACAUGCAAGUCGAACGAGACCUUCGGGUCUAGUGUCGCACGGGUUCGUAACGCGUGGGAACCUGCCUUUAGGUUCGGCCUAACUCAGAGAAUUUUGAGCUAAUACCGGAUGAUGUCUUCGGACCAAAGAUUUAUGGCCUUUAGAUGGGCGUGCGUUGGAUUAGCUAGUUGGUGGGGUAAAGGCCUACCAAGGCGACGAUCCAUAGCUGGUCUGAGAGGAUGGUCCGCGACACUGGGACUGAGACACGGCCCGGACUCCUACGGGAGGCAGCAGUGGGGAAUAUUGGACAACGGGCGAAGGCCUGAUCGAGCAAUGCCGCGUGAGUGAUGAAGGCCUUAGGGUUGUAAAGCUCUUUUACCCGAGAUGAUAAUGACAGUAUCGGGAGAAUAAGCUCCGGCUAACUCCGUG
rnacentral:rRNA from 1 species